CUCGCCUCUCGCUAAGAUAAUGCUCGAGCGAGAAAAACAGAAUGCUUCUCGCUCGUCAUCGCUACCGCUUCGCUCGAGCGACGGAAUUAUCCGGCCAACCCUAGUUCGCGAUUUUGGAAAGUUUUACAUGGCCUAUAAUACCUAAACAUCCCUAACUAUAAAUACCCAAGCCUUGCAAGAUUUCCUGGUUGGUUCUUUGUGCCUCUACUUCGUAUCAUAUUCAUAACAUCCUUUGGUAAACCAAGACCCUGCUCAUACAUUGAUUCAACCUUUUGAUUCUUGAGAAUGAAGCUAUUAGUAGAUCUCAUCAAUCACUUAAUGAAGAAACUCCAGGAAGCACUGCUUCUAUUACAUUGAAGUAUUAUAUGCCAUCCUAUCAAGUCAUAGGGUGCUCACUCGAGAAAUGCAGCGGGACUGGUGGUUGGAAAGGCUGCUACAAGCAAUUCAAUUUUAUGUGCUCUCCUGCAGACAGCAAACAGAAUGAUGGGAAUGAAAAAAGUGUGCUGAUGGAAGCAGCACUGGUCAUAAGAGUAGUACAAAUUAUGUAUAAUCGCAUGAAAAAACUCCAAAUGGAGAUGUGUCUAUUCACUGGCCAGAUGCAGCUGUUCUUGCUAUAGCUUCUCUUGAGAAGGCAGGACACGAUGCCCUUUCCUCAGAUUAUCAGAAGUAUAAUAAAAAAUGUGACAAUUAACAUUCAAUCUUAAGGUUAGGCCAUUGCCGACUUUCUUUUCACAAGUCUGCGGACAUCUGUAUAGAAAUAUGAAAUAUGUUAAAAAUUUCUGCAAUUCUUGCGCAACAAGAUUGCAAUUGUACUUCUUUGGUCUCAGUAAGUUGCAAUGCUUUAAUCUAACCCUAUCUGUAGUAUAAAUCUAUUUUCCAUUCUCUCUUAAAUUUUUCUUCUACAUAUUUUUACCUGAACUGUAAUUUUUCUUUUCAAAUUCACUAUUUCUUGCCAGAACAAUUCUGCAGUAGCACAACGUUUUCUGAUUGGGGAAUAGGAGCCUGCACAGAUAUUGAAUAUCUCACCAAAUGAAUUAAAGGAGGGUCUAACCGCAGAGGAAAUAGCUACCAAGAAGCCUGUGGAGUUUGGGCACAUGCAGGAGACGCUAUAACAAUCUUGAUCAUGUGGUGUUGUUCCAGGUGGAGUGCAUCACUUGUGCUAACACCUGGUAUGCUUCAAGGGACGAGGCUUCUGCACUAACGAUAGAAGAGCCAAAUUCGGCAAGGAUUGUAGGCACUGCACCAUUAGCUACUGCAAAGUUUAAAGAUGUUGAGAAGAGGCUGUUGAGUCCCUGGGUCUCGAGAAGGGAGCCGGUGACAUCUUAAAGAAAACAGAAGCACGCGUUCCUGUACUGGACAAUCAAAACUCAAUCAACAAAAUAACGGCCGAUGAUAAUCUAGCCCUUACUGUCGCAGAGUGAAUGCUAGUAUACUCUGGGUAAGGAGAUAUUUUACAAUGUAAAGUCAUUAUAGGUCCCUUUUGGCAAAGCUUAUGCUUUUGCUUCUUGUGGAAGAGUUUCAUGAGAAAGCUACUUUAGAUCAACUUUCUUUAAAAGUUAUUUUAGU